CCUUACCUACUCUUGACAUCCAGAGAACUUUCCAGAGAUGGAUUGGUGCCUUCGGGAACUCUGAGACAGGUGCUGCAUGGCUGUCGUCAGCUCGUGUUGUGAAAUGUUGGGUUAAGUCCCGCAACGAGCGCAACCCUUAUCCUUUGUUGCCAGCGGUUCGGCCGGGAACUCAAAGGAGACUGCCAGUGAUAAACUGGAGGAAGGUGGGGAUGACGUCAAGUCAUCAUGGCCCUUACGAGUAGGGCUACACACGUGCUACAAUGGCAUAUACAAAGAGAAGCGACCUCGCGAGAGCAAGCGGACCUCAUAAAGUAUGUCGUAGUCCGGAUUGGAGUCUGCAACUCGACUCCAUGAAGUCGGAA
rnacentral:rRNA from 1 species